rnacentral:rRNA from 1 species
AGCGAACGCUGGCGGCAGGCCUAACACAUGCAAGUCGAACGAACCUUUCGGGGUUAGUGGCGGACGGGUGCGUAACACGUGGGAACGUGCCUUUAGGUUCGGAAUAACUCAGGGAAACUUGUGCUAAUACCGAAUGUGCCCUUCGGGGGAAAGAUUUAUCGCCUUUAGAGCGGCCCGCGUCUGAUUAGCUAGUUGGUUGAGGUAAUGGCUCACCAAGGCGACGACCAGUAGCUGGUCUGAGAGGAUGAUCAGCCACAUUGGGACUGAGACACGGCCCAAACUCCUACGGGAGGCAGCAGUGGGGAAUCUUGCGCAAUGGGCGAAAGCCUGACGCAGCCAUGCCGCGUGAAUGAUGAAGGUCUUAGGAUUGUAAAAUUCUUUCACCGGGGACGAUAAUGACGGUACCCGGAGAAGAAGCCCCGGCUAACUUCGUG